UAAGUUUUGAAAACCUGGUGUCUUUUACAGUCCCCAGAACGUCUCAGUUCAGAGCAGCUGUAUAUUCCAGGUGCUCAGCAGCCACACGCAGGUCUUGCACCUCACUGACCCAAGUGAGCUCCACAGAGCAGCCACCACUGGCCAGACCAAGCAUUGUCAUGCACUUGGGAUCAAAACUUGCCUUAACCUGGCCUCCGGGAACCGCUGUGCACAUGGACGCUUGAGGAGCAGGAUCCAGCUCACACACAGAACUCUCUAGGUCCAGAGGCUGGGACCAGAGAGA